UACAGAGACCUCAAGCGUUAUCCGGAAUCAUUGGGCGUAAAGCGUACCGAUAGGUGGUUUACAAAGUCAGAGGUGAAAUCUCAAGGCUCAACCUUGAGUCUGUCCUUUGAUACUUGUAAACUAGAGGGGCAAAGAGGAAGCUGGAACGAACGGUGUAGUAGUGAAAUGCGUUGAUAUCGUUCGGAACACCAAUAGCGUAGGCAAGCUUCUGGGUGCCACCUGACACUGCUAGGACGAAAGCGUGGGGGAGCGAAGUGGG
rnacentral:rRNA from 1 species